GCCCGCUUGGCUAAGUGGUAUAGCGUGUCACUAGUACUCUAGAUGUCAUGACAAGAUCAGCGGUUCGAUUCCGCUAGUGGGCA